CCUUGUACACACCGCCCGUCACGCCAGGUGGGAGUGGGUUGUACCAGAAGUAGGUUGCUUAACCGCAAGGGGAGCGCUUACCACGGUAUGGUUCAUGACUGGGGCG
rnacentral:rRNA from 1 species